rnacentral:pre_miRNA from 1 species
GGCAGUGUGGCAUUGCCUUGCCCUUUCCCUUUGUCAUUCCCAUCAAGAUUUCGGUAUCUCAAAUCAAAAUAAAAUAAAAACUCUAUAUAUAUAUAUAUAUAUAGUUUUUAUUUUAUUUUGAUUUGAGAUACCGAAAUCUUGAUGGGAAUGACAAAGGGAAAGGGCAAGGCAAUGCCACACUGCC